CCCUUAGAUGUCCUGGGCCGCACGCGCGCUACACUGAAGGAAUCAGCGUGGCUUUCUCCCUGACCCGAAAGGGUUGGGAAACCCGUUGAAUCUCCUUCGUGAUAGGGAUUGGGGCUUGAAAUUGUUCCCCAUGAACGAGGAAUUCCCAGUAAGCGCGAGUCAUAAGCUCGCGUUGAUUACGUCCCUGCCCUUUGUACACACCGCCCGUCGCUACUACCGAUUGAACGGUUUAGUGAGGGCCUCGGAUUGGUCUCGGCCCGCUCUUUACCGGGCGGCGACGUUGGUCGAGAAGACGCUCGAACUUGAUCGUUUAGAGGAAGUAAAAGUCGUAACA
rnacentral:rRNA from 1 species